rnacentral:rRNA from 1 species
GUGGGGAAUCUUCCGCAAUGGACGAAAGUCUGACGGAGCGACGCCGCGUGAGUGAAGAAGGCCUUCGGGUCGUAAAGCUCUGUCAUCAGGGACGAACGGCCGGUGGAGUGGAAAGCCACCGGAUUGACGGUACCUGAGAAGGAAGCCACGGCUACCUACGUGCCAGCAGCCGCGGUAAUACGUAGGUGGCAAGCGUUGUCCGGAAUAAUUGGGCGUAAAGCGCGCGCAGGUGGGAUCUUAAGUCCAUUUUUAAAGUUCGGAGCUCAACUCCGUGAUGGGAUGGAAACUGGGAUUCUUGAGUACCGGAGAGGAAAGCGGAAUUCCCCGUGUAGCGGUGAAAUGCGUAGAUAUGGGGAGGAACACCAGUGGCGAAGGCGGCUUUCUGGACGGUGUCUGACACUGAGGCGCGAAAGCCAGGGGAGCGAACGGGAUUAGAUACCCCGGUAGUCC